AGUGAACGCUGGCGGUAUGCCUUACACAUGCAAGUCGAACGGCAGCACAGUAAGAGCUUGCUCUUACGGGUGGCGAGUGGCGGACGGGUUAGGAAGACAUCGGAAUCUACUUUUUCGUGGGGGAGAACGUAGGGAAACUUACGCUAAUACCGCAUACGACCUACGGGUGAAAGCAGUUGAUGUUCGGACCUUGCGCGAUUGAAUGAGCCGAUGUCGGAUUAGCUAGUUGGCGGGGUAAAGGCCUACCAAGGCGACGAUCCGUAGCUGGUCUGAGAGGAUGAUCAGCCACACUGGAACUGAGACACGGUCCAGACUCCUACGGGAGGCAGCAGUGGGGAAUAUUGGACAAUGGGCGCAAGCCUGAUCCAGCAAUACCGCGUGUGUGAAGAAGGCCUUCGGGUUGUAAAGCACUUUUGUUGGGAAAGAAAAGCAGCAGGUUAAUACCCCGCUGUUAUGACGGUACCGAAAGAAUAAGCACCGGCUAACUUCGUG
rnacentral:rRNA from 1 species